rnacentral:lncRNA from 1 species
CUAUAUUUUGCCUGUGAGACUUAAAUCCUUCAAUAACAAUAAAUGGUAUAUAUGCAUCAAAGAACGGGAUGUGCAGCUUUCCUGGCCUUUCACACUUUUUAGAAUGAAAUGGAUCUUAGAAUCAAAUGGAAGAAAAGCUCUCUAUCCUCCUCUUUUUCUGCCUAAAAGUAGGAAAUACAUUUUCCUUUAGUGAAGAGGGCUCUAGAUGCUUAUUAGCCCAGAGAUGGCACCAGAGGAAUCUGCAGUACUCCAUGAGUUUCCUACCAUAUAUUUACAUUCCCACAGUUUCCCACCUUUGUAGCCUAAAAACGACUUUCCUCUGUCCUUUCUUUAUCUACAAAUUGAUUGUUCUUUGUUGAAGAUGGUUUGUAAACCAGAGUUCUAAGCCACUGUUUUGAGUUACUUUUCAUGAGGUUUCUCCUGUGAUGUGUGCUGCACACAUUAAUAAAUUUGUUUUUCUCUUGUUAAUCUGUCUUUUGUUACAGUGGCCUGUCCCAACAGGAACUCACAUGGGUUGAGAAAAAAAAUUUUUCCUUCCUGACAGUUUUUGGCAAUGCAGAUGGGACUUUCUGGGAUACCCCAUCCACUCUGGAACCUGCAGAUGAAAUCCUAGCAAAACUGGCAGAAGCUGGUAAAAGAAAGAUUCAUGGAAAGCACUCUGACAAAUACAGGCUUCUGAUAACUUCAAGAUCAUACCAUUUGGCCAGAAAUGCCUCUUAUUAGAUCACCAUAUAGAGGCCUAACUUUGAUGAGAGCUCACCUGCAAUAUCUCCUGAAAUGAGACACAACUGCUUAAUUGAAUUGACCUAUUCUCAGCACUAAGACAAUGAUUUGAUAUGGGGCAAUGUACUUAAAUUUGUUCAGCUGCACUUGUUCCAAUCUAUGUUUUCCUCUUCCUUUGCCAAUCCCUGAUCUCACAAUCUCUAAUCCAAAUCUCUUCAAAGCUACCAACUUGGAGAGUUCUAAGCCACCAUUUUGAGUUACUUUGUGUUGUGGUUUCUCCUGCAUUGUGUGCUGCACGUAUUAAUAAACUUGUUUUUCUCUUAUUAAUC